rnacentral:miRNA from 1 species
GAAGGGCCCGGCUCGCGUCCAG